UUCUUCUUUUUCUCCCAUUUAUCAUUAUUUAAUCGGUUUCAAUACGAAAUGUGUGCCAUUUCACAUUGAAUUUCU
ensembl:ncRNA Y75B8A.46 ncRNA